UAAGGAAUAUUGGUCAAUGGACGCAAGUCCGAACCAGCCAUGCCGCGUGAAGGAUGAAGGUCCUCUGGAUUGUAAACUUCUUUUAUAUGGGACGAAACCCCCGAAUUCUUUCGGGAUUGACGGUACCAUAAGAAUAAGCACCGGCUAACUCCGUGCCAGCAGCCGCGGUAAUACGGAGGGUGCAAGCGUUAUCCGGAUUCACUGGGUUUAAAGGGUGCGUAGGAGGGCAGGUAAGUCAGUGGUGAAAUCUCCGAGCUUAACUUGGAAACUGCCGUUGAUACUAUCUGUCUUGAAUAUUGUGGAGGUGAGCGGAAUAUGUCAUGUAGCGGUGAAAUGCUUAGAUAUGACAUAGAACACCAAUUGCGAAGGCAGCUCGCUACACAUAUAUUGACUCUGAGGCACGAAAGCGUGGGGAUCAAACAGGAUUAGAUACCCUGGUAGUCCACGCCCUAAACGAUGGAUACUCGACAUACGCGAUACACAGUGUGUGUCUGAGCGAAAGCAUUAAGUAUCCCACCUGGGAAGUACGACCGCAAGGUUGA
rnacentral:rRNA from 1 species